rnacentral:rRNA from 1 species
UCCAAUCGAACCCGGAGAUAGCUGGUUCUCUCCGAAAUAGCUUUAGGGCUAGCCUUGUAUUAGAUUACCGGAGGUAAAGCACUGAAUGGUUAAGGGACCGAAAGGUUACCAAGACCUAUCAAACUCAGAAUGCCGGAUAAUUGAUGUACAGGAGUCAGACGGCGGGAGAUAAGUUUCGUCGUCAAAAGGGAAACAGCCCAGACCCACAGCUAAGGUCCCAAAACACGGUUAAGUGGAAAAGGAUGUGGGGUUGCACAGACAACCAGGAUGUUGGCUCAGAAGCAGCCAUACAUUAAAAGAGUGCGUAAUAGCUCACUGGUCGAGUGACCCUGCGCCGAAAAUUUAACGGGGCUAAAUCGUGUACCGAAGCUUGGGAUGCAGCAAUGCAUGGUAGGAGAGCGUUCUGUACGGGGCGAAAUGAGAGCGAAAGCGCUUGUGGACUGUACAGAAGUGAGAAUGCCGGAAUGAGUAGCGAGAAAUGUGUGAGAAUCAUAUUGGCCGAAAAUCUAAGGUUUCUGGAGGAAGGUUCGUCCGCUCCAGGUAAGCCGGGAGCUAAGGCGAGGCCGAAAGGCGUAGUCGAUGCACAUACGGUGGAUAAUCCGUAGCCGCCAAAAGAUUUAAGAUAAGUGACACCUGAGAAGUCUAUAACCCGGGCGAUGGUUGCCCCGGGCGUAAGGGACCGAAAUUAGAGUAGGGAAGUAUAGAUGGAACAGGGCAAGAAAAGCUUAUUGGUAUAUCUGAGGCGCCCGUACCGCAAACCGACACAGGUAGAUAGGAAGAGAAUUCUAAGGCCAACGGGAGAAGGGUAGUUAAGGAACUCGGCAAAUUGGCCCCGUAACUUCGGAAUAAGGGGCGCCCACGCAAGUGGGCCGCAGUGAAAAGGCUCAGGCGACUGUUUAUCAAAAACACAGGUUUCUGCAAAAUCGAAAGAUGACGUAUAGGAGCUGACACCUGCCCGGUGCUGGAAGGUUAAGAGGAGAUGUGCAAGCAUUGAAUUGAAGCCCCAGUAAACGGCGGCCGUAACUAUAACGGUCCUAAGGUAGCGAAAUUCCUUGUCGGGUAAGUUCCGACCCGCACGAAAGGUGUAACGAUCUGAGCACUGUCUCAAUUACCCGCCCGGCGAAAUUGUAGUACCGGUGAAGAUGCCGGUUACCCGCGACAAGACGGAAAGACCCCAUGGAGCUUUACUGUAGUUUAAUAUUGGAUUUCGGUAAUUUAUGUACAGGAUAGGUGGGAGACACGGAAACUUGCGCGCCAGCGUGAGCGAAGUCGUCCUUGGGAUACCACCCUUAAGUUGCUGAAAUUCUAACCUGCGGCCGUAUAUCCGGCCGGGGGACAAUGUUAGACGGGCAGUUUGACUGGGGCGGUCGCCUCCUAAAAGGUAACGGAGGCGCUCAAAGGUUGGCUCGGCACGGAUGGAAACCGUGCAAGAGAGUGUAAACGCACAAGCCAGCCUGACUGCGAGGAUGACAGUCCGAGCAGGAACGAAAGUUGGAGUUAGUGAUCCGGCGGUAUGAAAGUGGAAUUGCCGUCGCUUAACGGAUAAAAGCUACCCUGGGGAUAACAGGCUGAUCUCCCCCAAGAGUCCACAU